GAUGAACGCUGGCGGCGUGCUUAACACAUGCAAGUCGAACGGUGAAGGCGGAGCUUGCUCUGCUGGAUCAGUGGCGAACGGGUGAGUAGCACGUGAGCAAUCUGCCCCUGACUCUGGGAUAAGCGCUGGAAACGGCGUCUAAUACUGGAUACGAGCUGCGAAGGCAUCUUCAGCAGCUGGAAAGAAUUUCGGUCAGGGAUGAGCUCGCGGCCUAUCAGCUUGUUGGUGAGGUAAUGGCUCACCAAGGCGUCGACGGGUAGCCGGCCUGAGAGGGUGACCGGCCACACUGGGACUGAGACACGGCCCAGACUCCUACGGGAGGCAGCAGUGGGGAAUAUUGCACAAUGGGCGAAAGCCUGAUGCAGCAACGCCGCGUGAGGGACGACGGCCUUCGGGUUGUAAACCUCUUUUAGCAGGGAAGAAGCGAAAGUGACGGUACCUGCAGAAAAAGCGCCGGCUAACUACGUG
rnacentral:rRNA from 1 species